rnacentral:rRNA from 1 species
GGGACGACGUCAAGUCAGCAUGCCCCUUACGUCCUGGGCGACACACGUACUACAAUGGUGGGGACAAAGGGCUGCAAGUUCGCGAGGACAAGCAAAUCCCAUAAACCGUGGCUCAGUUCAGAUCGUAGGCUGCAACUCGCCUGCGUGAAGGAGGAAUCGCUAGUAAUCGCAGGUCAGAAUACUGCGGUGAAUUCGUUCCCGGGCCUUGUACACCCCGCCCGUCACACCAUGGAAGUUGGCCACG